rnacentral:ncRNA from 1 species
GAUUGCAAUAUCUAUCAUUUAUGCACGACCUCUCUGCAAUCGCGGCUG